GAGAGAGAAAUAAAUCAGGAUUAUUAUCUUUCCACGUGGCAGUUACAGAACCUGAGCAUUAAUGGGUUAAAUCCUCCCCCACCGUCUCACCUGAUCCCAUUCCUUAAUUUCAAUACUGGGCCCCCCACUGUCCUGCCUCUCACAGAACCUUCAAUCUCCCCCGACACCUCAUAUUCACCCAGCCCCCCACUUUCACUCUGUCCCAUGUGGGUCACAGAAGGCAAAACAUUCCCCUUUAGCAGGACAUGAUCAGCAGCAGAUGGGAAAGUAAAUCAGAGCCUUUAAGACCCAGAACAUCAGCGGUACAAGGAAACACAUUGCCAUAAAGCAACAUCACACCGUGUGCAGCAGAGCCAGAAAGCGAGACAUUACUUUGCCCCUCAGUCAAUACACAGGUUUUUAGAUGGCUUGAAGAAACCUCGGACCAGAGACGGAUCAUAUUCUCAGGAGAAGGACAGGAAUUCUGAGCUGUGUCCGCCGAGAAUCCCGACGUUCGAGUCGAGGAAAACUUAAUUCGAAUUAUCGGGUCUUUCGUAUUCAAUUGAAUGUUAGACAAUUUUUUUUCUUAAAUUACCUCCCAUUCGAGUUGUACCUUUGAAUUUAUUAAGAGCAAAAAAAAAUAAUAAUAAAAAAUAAUAAUAACUUCGAAAUUUGACCUUUGAUAAAUCUGCUCCAAUAAGUUGAAUUGAAGGUGAAGCACCCCUGUAGGUGAUCAAUCUCUUGCUCCAGUCUUACUUUGCUCCACCAAUGUGAAUUCCCUCUGAUAAUUAAUAUUAUGGCUGAUAAUUGAUACAACUACAAUUAGCAAAAUAAAAACCUAAAGCCUG